CCUACGGGUGGCAGCAGUGAGGACUAUUGGUCAAUGGCCGUAAGGCUGAACCAGCCACGUCGCAUGAAGGAAGAAGGAUCUAUGGUUUGUAAACUUCAUUUAUAGGGGAAUAAAGGUAUCCACGUGUGGAUAUUUGCAUCUACCCUAUGAAUAAGCAUCGGCCAACUCCGUGCCAGAAGCCGCGGUAAUACGGAGGAUUCGAGCGUUAUCCGGAUUUAUUGGGUGUAAAGGUUGCGUAGGUUGUUUUUUAAGUCAGUGGUGAAAGUUUGUGGCUCAACCAUAAGAUUGCCGUUGAAACUGGAAGACUUGAGUGUGUGUGAGGUAGGCGGAAUGCGUGGUGUAGCGGUGAAAUGCAUAGAUAUCACGCAGAACCCCGAUUGCGAAGGCAGCCUUCCGGCGCCCUACUGACGCUGAGGCACGAAAGUGCGGGGAUCGAACAGGAUUAGAUACCCCUGUAGUC
rnacentral:rRNA from 1 species